rnacentral:rRNA from 1 species
GCGGCGUGCUUAACACAUGCAAGUCGAACGGAAAGGCCCUGCUUUUGUGGGGUGCUCGAGUGGCGAACGGGUGAGUAACACGUGAGUAACCUGCCCUUGACUUUGGGAUAACUUCAGGAAACUGGGGCUAAUACCGGAUAGGAGCUCCUGCUGCAUGGUGGGGGUUGGAAAGUUUCGGCGGUUGGGGAUGGACUCGCGGCUUAUCAGCUUGUUGGUGGGGUAGUGGCUUACCAAGGCUUUGACGGGUAGCCGGCCUGAGAGGGUGACCGGCCACAUUGGGACUGAGAUACGGCCCAGACUCCUACGGGAGGCAGCAGUGGGGAAUAUUGCACAAUGGGCGGAAGCCUGAUGCAGCAACGCCGCGUGCGGGAUGACGGCCUUCGGGUUGUAAACCGCUUUCGCCUGUGACGAAGCGUGAGUGACGGUAAUGGGUAAAGAAGCACCGGCUAACUACGUGCCAGCAGCCGCGGUGAUACGUAGGGUGCGAGCGUUGUCCGGAUUUAUUGGGCGUAAAGGGCUCGUAGGUGGUUGAUCGCGUCGGAAGUGUAAUCUUGGGGCUUAACCCUGAGCGUGCUUUCGAUACGGGUUGACUUGAGGAAGGUAGGGGAGAAUGGAAUUCCUGGUGGAGCGGUGGAAUGCGCAGAUAUCAGGAGGAACACCAGUGGCGAAGGCGGUUCUCUGGGCCUUUCCUGACGCUGAGGAGCGAAAGCGUGGGGAGCGAACAGGCUUAGAUACCCUGGUAGUCCACGCUGUAAACGGUGGGUACUAGGUGUGGGGUCCAUUCCACGGGUUCCGUGCCGUAGCUAACGCUUUAAGUACCCCGCCUGGGGAGUACGGCCGCAAGGCUAAAACUCAAAGGAAUUGACGGGGCCCCGCACAAGCGGCGGAGCAUGCGGAUUAAUUCGAUGCAACGCGUAGAACCUUACCUGGGUUUGACAUGGAUCGGGAGUGCUCAGAGAUGGGUGUGCCUCUUUUGGGGUCGGUUCACAGGUGGUGCAUGGCUGUCGUCAGCUCGUGUCGUGAGAUGUUGGGUUAAGUCCCGCAACGAGCGCAACCCUUGUUCACUGUUGCCAGCACGUUAUGGUGGGGACUCAGUGGAGACCGCCGGGGUCAACUCGGAGGAAGGUGGGGAUGACGUCAAGUCAUCAUGCCCCUUAUGUCCAGGGCUUCACGCAUGCUACAAUGGCUGGUACAGAGAGUGGCGAGCCUGUGAGGGUGAGCGAAUCUCGGAAAGCCGGUCUCAGUUCGGAUUGGGGUCUGCAACUCGACCUCAUGAAGUCGGAGUCGCUAGUAAUCGCAGAUCAGCAACGCUGCGGUGAAUACGUUCCCGGGGCUUGUACACACCGCCCGUCAAGUCAUGAAAGUUGGUAACACCCGAAGCCGGUGGCCUAACCGUUGUGGGGGAGCCGUCGAAGGUGGGACUGGUGAUUAGG